AACCUGUUUUCCAAAACUCUUCAAUCAGAUGUGUUUCAGAAUUCAGACAUUGUGGUACUUUUGAAAAGUCAAAUAGCAUAUUAUGGAACUGGUCUCAUUGGGCUGGGGCAGCAGCCUGUCAUCAAACUCAGUUGUUGCAGUAAAAUGGAAGAAUAUUCUAAGCGGAAUAACACCAUAAAUAUUCCCAGUUCCAUUCACCUCAGGUUUUGUCCUCAUAUCCUUAUAGUCAAGUCAGGUUUGGCUGCCAAACAAAUUAUUUGAAAACAACAAAAUAUGACUUCCAGUUUCCAGAGCUUCAGAGGUUUCAGAAAAGUGGUGAAAUAUUAUUUCCAUUUUGCAUAUGAGGAAACCGAAGCACAGAAAAUUAACCAGCUUAAGUUCAUUCUCAGUUGGGGAAGAGAGGGUCAAACCUAAGUAUUCUGACUCCUGAACUCCCUACUUUUAGGUGUUUUGCCCUGCUGAGUUCAGCCUUGACAGCCGUAUUCACAACCUGUGUAAAGCACAGUGUAUCCAGAGCAUGGUGAAGAAUCUGGAGCUGAUUACAAUGCUCAGCAAGAUUCCAAAUUGAGCCUGUAACCUCGAGAAGAGGGGACACAGUUGAGCUAUUAAGGAAACAGAUGGUCUGUGGCUUGGCGAUUUGGGGCAGCUCCGUGAAAAAAGGUGCAAUACUUACUAAAAAGGUUGAGAAGCUGUGGUCUGGGGAUGGUGAAAACACCUGGAGAGUGAUGUGCAGAAAUCACGUGGUGGAUUCUUUACCAGCUGAGCCACAAAGGAAGCCCCUAAAAAAGCUAAGUCUUUUGUAAAACUGCCAGAGAAUGGACACCAAACUAAGGAGCCCUGGUUCCAGCAGAACCUGCAAAAGGGACAAUUCCACCACUGUGAUACUGCUCCAGCUAUCAUGAGCUCAGGCAGUGAGUGCCCUGGCAACAAGGAAGGAGAAACAGCCUGGAAGCUCAGUGAAUAUCAGUCUUCAUGCUUACCAAGCUGAGAUAAAGAGCUUUGCCGGCUGCAGGAUGUCCAUACCCAUCGAACUGUAGACAUGGAAGAAAGGAGUGGCCACAGUUGUUUGAAUGUCUGAAGAAACAUGUGCCUCAUUAGAGCUGUGUCCAGAUAUUUCUAACCCUCCUUCCAGCCAGCAGUAAGACAGCAAGGUCCCCAAGCCACGUGACUUGCUUUGGCCAAUGAAAUGCCAGCAGAAGCUUUUCAGCGCCUGCACACAGUGGUUCCUUUUUCCUGGGUGCCAGUGAUGCCAAUGCAUGGAUGACAUGAGGCCUUGGACGGUGAGCCCCAUCAGUCCGCAGGAGUGGGG
rnacentral:lncRNA from 1 species